GACGAACGCUGGCGGCGUGCUUAACACAUGCAAGUCGAACGGAAAGGCCUUUUCGGAGGUACUCGAGUGGCGAACGGGUGAGUAACACGUGGGUGAUCUGCCCUGCACUCUGGGAUAAGCCUGGGAAACUGGGUCUAAUACCGGAUAGGACCGCACUUUAGCGUGUGUGGUGGAAAGUUUUUUCGGUGUAGGAUGAGCCCGCGGCCUAUUAGCUUGUUGGUGGGGUAAUGGUCUACCAAGGCGGCGACGGGCAGCCGGACUGAGUGGUUGGUCGGCCACAUUGAGACUGAGAUACGGCCCAGACUCCUACGGGAGGCAGCAGUGGGGAAUAUUGCACAAUGGGCGCAAGCCUGAUGCAGCGACGCCGCGUGGGGGAUGACGGCCUUCGGGUUGUGAACUCCUUUCGCCAGGGACGAAGCGUUUUGUGACGGUACCUGGAGAAGAAGCACCGGCUAACUACGUG
rnacentral:rRNA from 1 species